ACACCCCCCCCCCCUCCCAGCUUCGUAGCUCCAGUGAUAAGAAAACGCCGGGAAUCGGAGAUGGAAGCUCCUUUGGCAAGCAACGAUGAUACAAGCAUCGAAUCCCACGAACCUGUGGGAAUCGCGAAUCGGAGGUAAGCUGAUCGUCGUACACGUUCCUAGGGAUCGAUUCUCAAAGUCUCGGGGCAUUUCGGCUUUUGGUAAGCAAGCAAAUCGCGGUUUAACCUACGAAUAGCAAUGUGAUUAAUCAUCAAAACCUUAGCAUUGAAUCGGAGGAAAAAAGGAUAAGAGAACUUACUUGUUGAUUUUGUCCUUGGUUUAUGAACUGAGAAAGCAAAUCUUGUUCUUGAUGAAGAUUGAAGCAAUGGCUGAGAUCAAGGUGUUUGAUUGAAUGAUGUGGUGAAAGAGAAACAUUCUUCAGGGAUUCGCAGCCGUGUGCGUAGAGGUAACUGAGGCUCAGUGGAAGCUCUUCCAGUGAUAUGAGAUGAUUGCAUUUGUUGAGGCAGAGAGUUCCCAAAGAUGGAAGCUCUCUGAUGCUUGCGGGGAUUGUCUCAAACUCUAGGCUGCUGAGGUCUAGAUACGUUAUCUUGGUGAAGUGACUAAGCUCCUCCGACAAUGAGCGAAGACCCCUGCAGUUUUCGAGGCGCAGCUCAAGCAACUCUACACCAACAAGUCCCCUCAAUGAUCGGAGCUUCACACAGCCAGAAAGUGUGAGUCUCUCCACCUGACCAAGUUGUGGCAGUGCUCGGAGUUCCCGGCAGUUUUGAAGGCUGAGAUACUUCAACUUGGCAAUUUGUCCCAUGGUAGAGGGUAGUGACUUAAAAUCGUUUCCGGUGAGGUCCAGUGUCUCUAGGAAUUGCAGGUCAGAUAUGUCUCCUGCGAUUUCUUGGAUGUUUAGGUUUAUUAGCUUUAGCUUGGUCAAAAAUGGAAAGCAUUCAAAGCUGUUACAGCUGAAAGGAGCAUUAGAUUCUAUGUAACCCAACCGCUUGAUCUCAAGUGAUUUUAUACUGUCAGAAUCUGACAUAAGCCUAGGCGUUACUGUAUUCUGUUCCAUUGUCAUCGAUUUAUCAGGGAUCUGUUGCUUGGAGCUAAAGGAGAAGUGCUCUGUGAAGGACCCUAAGAUCGGUUCACUCGAAUGGAUCAGAUUUGGAUAUGAACUCCGGAUGGAGAACUGAAUGGAUUGAAGGGUCGCACGAAGGUUAGCGGAAAGGCCUUCGAUAUUCCCGACUCCAAAUGGUGCUUGAUAUGACUCACAAGACCACCAAAUGAAGGAUCUCUCGUCGUUGCUUGAUAUGACUCACAAGGCCAACGAUUUGAGGAAGUGUUUACUUGGAUAUGACUCACCAAGAAACAAGACAAGUUCUUAAACGAAGAACAAAUAGUUUAACUCAAAAGCUUUUGACAAAAUCGAUUUCUUUCUCUAUUAAAAUGAAAGAGUUUCAUACUUAUAGAGUUUUGUAGAUCUAGGAAUUAAAUAGAAAACUAGAUCUAGAUCUAGAUCUAGUCAAUACACGGAAAUAAAGAGAGAAAGCUAGUCAAAGUGACCGUUCGGCUUCUGUCCAGAUGCAUCCGAACCGGCUAAGUCCAAAGCGGUAAGGAUCAGCACAUAGGCGGGACGAUCAGCAAGGGCCGCGGGACGUUCUGAUCGGACAAGUUGCGUUCCAACAAAGCCCAAGUCUUCUGAUAGCUUAAGGAUCCUUGCCUUAGAGAAAUUUCCAAAGGAAAAGUCCAUGAUCGGAUCGAACAAGGUAGAGAGGUCAUCAACACGGUCGUUGGUACAUGCGGUACGAGCCAAUCGAGCCAAAAGAGAGAAGUCUCGAUCAUUUUGUGAAACCUCAUGAUCCAAGUCAAGUAUGGCAUGAUCUUUCUCAAGUCUGGCAUGAUCAUUCUCAAGUCUAGCAUGAUCUUUCUCAAGUCUGGCAUGAUCCUUCUCAAGUCUGGCAUGAUGAAAAACAUGAACUUCGGUUGAAAUGCUCAGAACGUCCUGAACUCCACGCUGAGCUGGUUCCAUGUAAUGAUUCGUGGACUGCGGCACAUCACUCUGCACUGCCACAAAGGUCAAAUAAGUCUAUAUCUAGCUGGCCCUCGAUGGAUAGGUCCGUAAGAAAAUCCAGCCUCGCUAUUUCUCUCUGAAACUGUAACAUGGUUCGCCAGCUGCCCGUCUGUCUACGCCUGCCUUUAAGAAAGUCAACAUUGAAUAUGACACCCCUAAGGAGAUCACAGUUGAUUGCGUUGAGUUUUUUGAGAUUAUGUGAUCUGCUUAUCGACUCUGGGAUGUUCUGUAGCCUCAUGCAGCUUUCUAUUAUCAAUUCCUCAAAAUUCGCGGCUGUUGAAAGAUCUGGAAGCUUUAUUAGAUUCCUCGAACCGGUCACAUCUAGUCUCCGCAGCUUCCAGAGCUUCUGAUCCUAUGUUAAUUAAAGCAUUAUUAAUCAUUGGUCUUAAAGAGGGAACUAACAUUUGUUUUCUAAAGUUAUCUUACUACAGCUUCGUUCCAUAGACUCUCGAGGUUGCUGUAUCGGAGAUUGAGUUCCACCAGAUUGUGGUGCUGGAACCUAUAUGGCAACUUUUCCAACGGAUAUGCAUCCUAAUUUAGUAGCUUAAGUUUAACAGGAAACUGAAGACAAUCUGACUUAAACUGUACCUUGGAUUCUAUAUCACCCAAGUGCUGGAAGAACUUGAAAAAGUUUAGAAAACGCAUGUUGCUAAAUACUUCAUCACUCAUAAAUAAUGUGCGAAGCAUAUCACACAUGUGCAGUGUCACACCUUCAUUUUGAUCCGUACCCUGUUGAUAGAAACACCAAAGCCACUGAGCAUAUUCAGAUCAGUUCUACUUACAACAACAAUUUAGAGGGAAUUAGAAUAACUUACUAUAUUAUUGUUCAGUACAUCAUAUAUCUCGUUAGGAUCCCAUAGAAACCUUUGUUUAGAAGGCCUGUUCCCGGAUUCUUGGCGCACGAUUUCCCUUCCUGUUUGUUCAACCAAGCAAUGCAUGUUUAUACAUCCAUCUGUCGAUAUGCUGAUGAGAGACUUUGCAUUUAAAUGAUUCAUCCUAGGACGACCUUCAUCAAGAAGGGAAGUGACAUGGUUAAAAAGGUAUCCGUUAAAGAGACAGGCAACAUGAAGGAAAGCUGUUUUGUCAAGUUCAUCUAAAUCAUUGUAGCUAAUUCUCAGAAUCUCCUCGACACGUUUGUGUGGCCUUGCUUCAAGUGAACGUAGUUCUUCUUCCCACGUCUCUAUGGUUGUGCUUUCACUGAGAUAUGUGGCAUAAGCCACUAGGGCAGAGGGAAGGCCGUGAGCUAGCUGAGACGCUCUAAUGAAGAGUUGCUCAAAGCCAUCAGAAGGAGGCGCUCUUCCUCCAUAGGCUGACUUCUUAUAGACCUGGAGGGCAUCAUUAUCCUCCAAGCAUUUAACCUCAUAUACAUUGUCUACUCUGCAGGAGGUGAGCAGACCCAUGGCACGUGUAGUUAUGAUUAUUCGGCUCCCUAAACCAAACCAGGCCAGUGCAUGUAUCUGCUCCGCUUUAUCCACACCAUCAAGCACAAUGAAUACUUUUUUGUUCCCUAGUCUUUCCUUUAUCUCAUUGUUGGAUCCUCCUUCAAGGAAACGAUUUUUCUUACCACUGGGGAUGUUGGCGAGGAAUCUUUCCUGCUUCACCUUUAGCAGUGGGCUUGAGAUAUUUCCAACUAUAUCGGCUACCAUCGUUGCUUCAUCCUUGCUAACACAAGAAGCAAACAUUUGUUUCAAUCCCAAAGACGAGAGAAGAAUGUACAUGGUUUUUCAUUUUCGUGAUAACACAUUUUACUUCUUAGAUCGACACUAUCCAUUAUACAAUCUAAUAAAGAUGAACAAUGUAUGGUUAAUCAGAUUAUCUUAUUAAUCUUGAUCCUCAAAAGAUGUAAAUAUUGAGCGUUA